rnacentral:rRNA from 1 species
CCUACGGGAGGCAGCAGUGGGGAAUAUUGGGCAAUGGGCGCAAGCCUGACCCAGCAACGCCGCGUGAAGGAAGAAGGCUUUCGGGUUGUAAACUUCUUUUCUCAGGGACGAAUAGAUGACGGUAACUGAGGAAUAAGCCACGGCUAACUACGUGCCAGCAGCCGCGGUAAUACGUAGGUGGCAAGCGUUAUCCGGAUUUGCUGGGGGUAAAGGGAGUGUAGGCGGGGACGCAAGUCAGAUGUGAAAAAUACGGGCUCAACCUGUGGCCGGCAUUUGAAACUGUGGUUCUUGAGUACUGGAGAGGAAGGCGGAAUGCGUGGUGUAGCGGUGAAAUGCGUAGAUAUUAGGCGGAACACCGAUGGCGAAGGCGGUCUGCUGGACAGCAACUGACGCUGAGGCACGAAAGCGUGGGGAGCGAACAGGAUUAGAUACCCCUGUAGUC